rnacentral:rRNA from 1 species
UACAGAGGGGGCAAGCGUUGUUCGGAAUUACUGGGCGUAAAGGGCGCGUAGGCGGCCCUCUAAGUCAGACGUGAAAUCCCUCGGCUCAACCGGGGAACUGCGUCUGAGACUGGGGGGCUUGAAUCCGGGAGAGGGAUGUGGAAUUCCAGGUGUAGCGGUGAAAUGCGUAGAUAUCUGGAGGAACACCGGUGGUGUAGACGGCUUUCUGGACCGUAACUGACGCUGAGACACGAAAGCGUGGGUAGCAAACAGG